AGUGAACGCUGGCGGUAGGCCUAACACAUGCAAGUCGAACGGCAGCACAGUAAGAGCUUGCUCUUACGGGUGGCGAGUGGCGGACGGGUGAGGAAUACAUCGGAAUCUACUUUUUCGUGGGGGAUAACGUAGGGAAACUUACGCUAAUACCGCAUACGACCUACGGGUGAAAGCAGGGGAUCUUCGGACCUUUCGCGAUUGAAUGAGCCGAUGUCGGAUUCGCUAGUUGGCGGGGUAAAGGCCCACCAAGGCGACGAUCCGUAGCUGGUAUGAGAGGAUGAUUCGCCACACUGGCACUGAGACACGGUCCAGACUCCUACGGGAGGCAGCAGUGGGGAAUAUUGGACAAUGGGCGCAAGCCUGAUCCAGCCAUACCGCGUGGGUGCAGAAGGCCUUCGGGUGGUAAAGCCCUUUUGUUGGUAAAGAAAAGCAGCAGGUUAAUACCCCGCGGUUCUGACGGUACCCAAAGAAUAAGCACCGGCUAACUUCGUG
rnacentral:rRNA from 1 species